UUGACUGUUUGCAAAGAGCUUGAUUGACAGGUGAUCUGACCAAUCAGAAUGCGGAUAUUAUGUGCCGCCGCUGCUAUCCGCCAUCUUGCCCGACAGCUAUGGCCUGUCUCCAUAGAAAUACAUGUUAAAACGGGGUAAAAAAAGAUCGACUGAAUUGAAACAUUUUUGAAAAUAUAACUAAAUGUAAAUAUGUGCGGAGGGUUAAGCUGUGCUGUUGUCGGCUGCCACGGUAACGGUAAUAAGCUAAGCAUAGAUGACUUAAUGCCUGAAGACCUGGCAACAAAACACUAUGAGGAAGUGAAUCCCCAGAGCUAUAUAACAUGAAAAAACUAAUUCUAGAAGAGAAAAAGAAGGUAUGUUUUUCGACACAAAAGGUCUUACUAAGCACUCACAAGCUUACAGAUAUAAUUAGAGGAGAAAUUAUUGUUUUAAAAACAAACAAGGUAAGGCAGUAGAAACAUAUUUAGGUGCCAUAAUUUUAUAUUAUGGCACAUCUAACAAUAAAGCAGUCAGAUCACUGUACUCAUUUAAUAGCAUUGUUAAGAAAACAAGAAAUGAAUGUCUGAAAAGCAGAAUAUGUCAGAUCAAAGGAUACAGGAUGACAUGAUGGUGCAGGCAGGGAAGAACUUUCCCUACAACUCAUCCCGACAUCAGGCUAUCUGAGAUAAGAAUGGUAAUGAUUGGGGGUCGGCAGUUAAUGGAAGUAGGAGCAAGUGGAAAAAGUUCAGCAGGAAACAUCAUUUUGGGGAGAAAUGCUUUUGAUAUUAGCAGAAGAACUGCACGAUCUGUUCAAGCUAAAGGAGACGUGCAUGGAAGACAUCUGACUGUGGUUGACACACCAGGCUGGUGGUGGCAUUACUCAGUGGAAUUCACUCCAAUGUUUGACAGAUGGGAAAUCAUAAGAACCCCAACACUAUGUCCUCCUGGACCUCACGCCUUCCUUCUGGUCAUACCAGCAGAUUUAGCAUU